AAUCUGGGCUAACACCUCAAACUCCCGUCGUCUUUUCUCAAAGUUGAUCAAGUCAUCGAAAUAGUCAGGGAGCGCUGUGUCCAGCAUCGUCAAGUCAGUCAAGAAUGUACCGAGAUACGGCACGGUGCCUUGCAUCACUCCCAUGUCAGUCUGCAACUGCAGUUCUUU